rnacentral:rRNA from 1 species
GAUGAACGCUGGCGGCAUGCCUAAUACAUGCAAGUCGAACGGACCGAAGGGAAAGCUUGCUUUCCUUGAAGUCAGUGGCGAACGGGUGAGUAACACGUAGGUAACCUGCCCAUGUGCCCGGGACAACGCCUGGAAACGGGUGCUAAAACCGGAUAGGUAGAGAGAUCGCAUGAACUUUCUAUUAAAGGGGCUACGGCCCUGAACAUGGAUGGACCUGCGGUGCAUUAGCUAGUUGGUGAGGUAACGGCCCACCAAGGCGACGAUGCAUAGCCGACCUGAGAGGGCGAACGGCCACAUUGGGACUGAGACACGGCCCAAACUCCUACGGGAGGCAGCAGUAGGGAAUUUUCGUCAAUGGGGGGAACCCUGAACGAGCAAUGCCGCGUGAGUGAAGACGGUCUUCGGAUUGUAAAGCUCUGUUGCGAGAGAAAAACGACACGGAUAGGGAAUGAUCCGUGGGUGAUGGUAUCUCGCCAGAAAGUCAC